rnacentral:misc_RNA from 1 species
GUCUCUUAUUGGUAGAGUAAAACAGUGCAAAAUUACCAUAGGAAGUCAUCAAGUAACCUUAUGGUUCAAAGGAAGGAACUAUAAUACAAAAUUACCAUAGGAAGUCAUCGAGUAACCUUAUGGUUCAAAGGAUGAAACUAUAAUGCAUUCCUUGGGGUGCAAGAUUGCGCAACUUUAAAACUUGGUUCUUUACAGUGGUAUGAAUAACGGGUUACGGGUUUUAAACCCCUUCCACAGAUUUUCACAGUUUAAUAAAUUAAAUUAUUCUUGUUUUAGUUCCAAGAAAACAAGCAAUCAAUUUCGAUACAGAUGAAAACCAAAGUUGAAAAUCCUUCUCUCCGUCAGCCUCGCUCAUGAAAUACGACAAAAUAUCGACAUGUUAGAUUUCAUCGAUGUGUAGACUAUGUAAUAUUAUGCAACGUUCGUUGAUCAUCCCGGUUGUACAUCUAUAAUCAACACAGACAAGCUGAUUAGUUUAUGUGUAAAACAGUGAUAGCAUUAUAAACCAACAGAGAAAAUUAAUCUAAAUGUAAAAGAUGAACAGACUUCUUUAUAGGAUUAAGCAAUUUAUAUAUGAGAAUAAUGCAGACAACCUUGACAAGAUUUUAUUCCAUGUGCAAAAAUGAAACAUGCCCAUACAUACAUUAGUUUUGUUAGAGGUUUAUAGAAAUGUCACUACAUGUAUUGUAAAUACGUAUUAAUAAAUGAUUAGAAUGC